rnacentral:rRNA from 1 species
GACAGAGGGGGCAAGCGUUGCUCGGAAUCACUGGGCGUAAAGGGCGCGUAGGCGGGAUGGCAAGUCAGUCGUGAAAUCUCUCGGCUCAACCGAGAAACGUCGGCUGAUACUGCCGUUCUUGAGGGAUGCAGAGGAGACUGGAAUUCCCGGUGUAGCGGUGAAAUGUGUAGAGAUCGGGAGGAACACCGGUGGCGAAGGCGGGUCUCUGGGCAAUUCCUGACGCUGAGGCGCGAAAGCGUGGGGAGCGAACAGG